GAGAGAGAGUAGACAUAGAGGGAGAAGCUGACUCCCCAUGGAGCAGGGAGCCCAACGCAGGGAUCAAUCCCAGGACCCGGAUAUCAUGACCUGAUCCAAAGGUAGACACUAACCACUGAGAAACCCAGGUGCCCCUACUUGAUUCUUCUCACCAGCUUAUUCGCCAUUCAAUAUUUUGUCUCAAUUUUCUCAUCAUUUGCAGCAGUUUGACCCUGACACUUUUGCAAAAGUGCUUCAUCUCUAAAGAGAUUUAUGGAAAAGACUGACAAGUACUCUAGAAUAUAGUUUUCUGAUAACUAUCAGAUCAUACCACUGAUAUAGCUAUCUAUGACUUACAGCAAUUUGGGUUCCUGGCAGCCUCAUCAGCUGAGUAAGGAAAGUUAUUACUCAGGAUAUCUUGAAGACCUCAAGAUGAAAGGAAUUAAAACUAUAUAGGUACAACAAGUGAAGCCUGAUGGCAAGUCUCUGAUGUGGCUUCUUAGUCUGCAGAGGCUUUAAAAGUCCAAUCUAAUAUCAUGUGAAAAGUUCCAGCAAAACAGAUUUAAAAAGAGCCUAUGUGGUCAGUCACUAUUCUUGCUGCACUUAUAUAAAUGAUCAGUCCAUGUUUAAAGAGAACAGACUUGUUUUUUUGUUUUUGUUUUUUUUUUUUUUUUGUAAAGAAAUUAGUUUUACUAUAAUUAUAUUUGCUAGAAAUGAGAUCUGGAUGCCAAUCCUAUCAGUUUUCUCAAUUAUCUGACCAUGAGUCUAGAAACAACACUUCUAAUUUUCUCCCAUUCUUCUGAUUUGGAAUCUUUAAGUACAAAGACUGUUUUUGAACCUUCUUGGAAGAGGCCAUCCUUCUCACUACCCAGAUAGCUGUCAAAUUUCAGGGACUCGAACCUUGGAUCUACCUCUCCCAAUCUGAUCUACUGCUCCCAAAAAAUAUUUUAUAAAUUACAGUAUUCACAUUUCUGAAGCUUAUUCAGCAUUUAAUUGAAUACUUAUUAGUGUUUAAAGUUACCCUAAGGCUUUUACCAAACACUAGUUAACUCUCAGUAUAUUUUUUGGAAGUG